UCGUGAAAAAAGCAAACCUCUCGAAAGAGUGGGAUGCAAAGCCUCCGGUCAGACAAUAAUGGGUGGCGGGGUUGCCCUA
rnacentral:ncRNA from 1 species